UGCCCUAGUAACGGCGAGUGAAGCGGCAACAGCUCAAAUUUGAAAGCUGGCCUUCUGGUUCGCAUUGUAAUUUGUACAGGAUGAUUUGGGGAAGCCGCCUGUCUAAGUUCCUUGGAACAGGACGUCAUAGAGGGUGAGAAUCCCGUAUGUGACAGGAAAUGGCACCCUAUGUAAAUCUCCUUCGACGAGUCAAGUUGUUUGGGAAUGCAGCUCUAAAUGGGAGGUAAAUUUCUUCUAAAGCUAAAUAUUGGCGAGAGACCGAUAGCGCACAAGUAAGUGAUCGAAAGAUGAAAAGCACUUUGGAAAGAAAGUUAAAAAGCACGUGAAAUUGUUGAAAGGGAAGCGCUUGCAAUCAGACUUGUUUAAACUGUUCGGCCGGUCUUCUGACCGGUUUACUCAGUUUGGACAGGCCAGCAUCAGUUUCGGCGGCCGGAUAAAGGCUCUGGGAAUGUGGCCUCCACUUCGGUGGAGGUGUUAUAGCCCAGGGUGUAAUACGGCCAGCCGGGACUGAGGUCCGCGCUUCGGCUAGGAUGCUGGCGUAAUGGUUGUAAGCGACCCGUCUUGAAACACGGACCAAGGAGUCUAACAUCUAUGCGAGUGUUCGGGUGUCAAACCCCUGCGCGUAAUGAAAGUGAACGGAGGUGGGAACCCGCAAGGGUGCACCAUCGACCGAUCCUGAUGUCUUCGGAUGGAUUUGAGUAAGAGCAUAGCUGUUGGGACCCGAAAGAUGGUGAACUAUGCCUGAAUAGGGUGAAGCCAGAGGAAACUCUGGUGGAGGCUCGCAGCGGUUCUGACGUGCAAAUCGAUCGUCAAAUUUGGGUAUAGGGGCGAAAGACUAAUCGAACCAUUAGUAGCUGGUUCCUGCCGAAGUUUCCCUCAGGAUAGCAGUAACGUUUUCAGUUUUAUGAGGUAAAGCGAAAGAUUAGAGGCCUUGGGGUUGAAACAACCUUAACCUAUUUCAAACUUUAAAUAUGUAAGAAGUCCUUGUUACUUA
rnacentral:rRNA from 1 species